UUCUACACUCUACAAUCUAAAAACUUCAAAAUUCCCGCCUUGAGAAAACUUUUCACACAAAAAACUCUGCAAAUCUCCACCAAAAGGGAAAAAAAACCCUAAAUCCCAAAAUUCACCGGAAAAUUGACGAAAUCUCGCCGUCGACACCGAAUGGUGUCAUCUUGGCAGAUAUUUUCCGACGCCGGAGAUAAUUUCCGGUGGGAAAUAUCUCCAAUUUCUAAACCUUCUCAUCAAGAUAAUCAACUUCACUAUUCUCCUCCUCCUACUACUCUCCCUUCAUUCCAUGAUGUUUUGGUUCAAGGUUGUUCGAAGAUUUUGGAGGAUUGUGAUAAACGAAAUGUUGAUGAUGAUAUUCCGAUGUUUCGAACUGGAUUCGGAAGCUCUGUUGUUAUAAAGAAGUCGUCGAUUGCUAAAGCUUCUGCUGUUCUUGGAGAUGAUUGUAUCAGUAAAUUUGACACAGGGAAACCAUGUUAUAAAGGAAAUGGGUUCAGUUCUCCAAAUUCCAUGUUUCAAACGGGCUCUGGGAAGACAGUCAAUAUAUCUUCAACUGGACUUCUUAGAGCUAGAGCAUUGUUGGGUGUCGACGAAAGUAAUGAAGAAUGCACCAUCCAAGGCUUUGAGCCUGCAAAGAAGAAAUUUCGUGGAGUGGACAAGUCUACAUUUGAGAAAAGAUUCCAUUUACAGAAAACACAGAUGGGGAUCAACAGUAUGGGAACUGAGAAUGAUACACUCUGUGCAAAGGUUCCAUUCCAUUUGAAGGGUGAUUCACCAGGAACUGAGUUGGUUGAGGAAGAUGUUGGUGAAAUUCUACGACCAGAGGUGUCUAAUUCUACUACCAAACAGUCUGCAGUUAAGUUCCAGACUGCAGGUGGUAGAUCUGUUUCAGUUUCGAGGGAUGCUUUGCAGCGAGCAAAAAACCUUCUUGGUGACCCAGACAUGGACAGUCUUUUAAACGAGGGAGAUGCAGGUGCUUCCAUGUUUUCAUUUAUGAAGUAUAGCAAUUCUGAUGGGAGCCUCUUUAACAAAGAGAACAAGACUGAUUCUUCUCAUCAAUUUGAAGAAAAUCCAAAAAUCUUUGUAUCACCAAUGAAGUCAUCUUCUAGCAGAAAGUCAUCAGAAGCCAAAUCAGAGACAUUGAUCUCAGGGACCAAUUUGAUGGGGAAAUUUGAUGCUGAGGAAAGCAUCUGUAAAUCAAAUGGUAAACUAUCCUCAUAUUGUCCAACAAAGAGUUUGCAAGCAAAGCCCCUUGUUCCUGAUACAGUACUGCAGCACUCUAUGGGAAUUGGUUCAGGUCCAGGUUUCCAUAGAUUCUCAAAGCCAUCCGGGGGGCCACUUGUUGAUAUUACAAACACCAGAGGCAUUGACUCUUCAACUAAGAAAGGAACAACCGCUGAGAUAAGGAGAUUUGGGACAAGAACUUCUGCCUCUCCAUUCAAGAUGCCAAGAAGUUCAAAGUUCAUUACUCCUUUAAACUGUAACCUUUCCUCGGCGCCUAACGGAUUUCCCAACAUGGAACCCGAGGCUUCAAAUUCUAAAAAAAGGGUUUGUACCCGUUAUCCAUUUCAGCUUCCAAGAUUAUAUGUCAAGGAGUUUUUUAAAGAGCCUCCGAUCUAUCCAGAAAUGCUGGAGCAUUUAUCAGAGCAAGUACGGCAGAUAACUUCUCGAGCUUCAGAGAAAUACAUAUUUUGUGAUGGAUCCCAGCCAAUUGGUGCUGAAAAUUUAUAUCAUAUGCUGGUUCAGUCGGGAGCUUCCGUGCAACAUGCAUCAAAAGAGUGGGUUGCAAAUCAUUGCAAGUGGAUUGUGUGGAAACUUGCAAGCUAUGAUAGGUGUUAUUCAUCUAAAUUUAUGAUGAGAUUUUUAACUGUUUCAAAUGUGCUUGAGGAAUUAAGAUAUAGAUAUGAACGUGAAGUUAAUCAUGGUCAGCGUUCUGCAAUUAAGAGAAUUUUAGAAGGAGACGCAUCACCUUCUUCCAUGCUGGUGCUAUGUGUCUCUGAGAUUGAGAAUCUCAGUACAAGUAUGGCUGAAAAUAGUAACAAUUCCAGAAUAGAACUGACUGAUGGGUGGUACUCAGUAUGUGCCCAGUUGGAUGUCUUGCUAUCAAAGCAACUUGCUGCAGGAAAGUUAUUUGUGGGACAAAAACUACGGAUAUGUGGAGCUGGUUUAAUUGGCUGGGAUGGACCUGUAUCUCCCCUCAAGGCAUCACCAACGAUUAGUUUAAUGCUGCAUAUAAAUGGGACGUACAGAGUUAGCUGGCAUGAACGUUUAGGAUUCUGUAGAGGGGCAUGCGCACCUUUGGCAUUUAGAUGCAUCAAGGGUAAGGGAGGUCUAAUCCCUAGGACCCUAGUUGGAGUUACCAGGAUAUAUCCUGUCCUUUACAAGGAAAGGUUGAAGAGUGGAGGAUGUAUUGUGAGGUCCGAGAAGAUGGAGGCUUCACUUACCCAGCUUUACAACCAGAGGCGGACUAACAUCAUAGAAGGAAUGACGUCAGACUUCCAGAGAGGUCUGGUCGGUUCUUGUACAGAGAAUGACUAUGACAAUGAAGGAGCAAAUAUCCUGAAGAUGCUUGAGAGUGCUGCUGAACCAGAACUGUUGAUGGCAGAAAUGAGCUCUGAGCAGCUAGCAGCAUUCUCCAAGUAUCGAGCAAAAGUGGAGGAAACCAGGCAGUGCAACAUGCAGAGAUUGAUCGAGAAAGCACUUGAAGAUGCAGGAUUAAGUGCUAGAGAAGUCACGCCAUUUAUGCGAGUAAGGGUUGUUGGACUAAGAAGUAGAGGACAGUAUGCAAGUGAAGUUCUAAGAGAAGGAUUAAUUACAAUUUGGAAUCCUACUGAACAGCAGAAACUUGAGCUGGUAGAGGGGGAGGCUUAUGCUAUCUCAGGUCUCAUACCGCUGCAUUCUGAUUCAACUACACUCUAUCUUCAAGCUAAAGGAUCAAGCAUUAAAUGGAAGCCUUUGACUAUAAAAGAGAAGGAAUCUUUUGGGCCCUUCUUCAAUCCUCGCAAGCGGAUAUCAUUAUCAAGAAUGGGAGAGGUUCCUUUGUCCAGUGAAUUUGAUACUGCUGUGUUAGUUUUACACGUGGGCCUGGAGUACAUAUCUGGUCAGCAGAAGAGACAAUGGGUGUUUGUUACUGAUGGAACCUUGUGCGAGUUACAAACAGAAGUAUCAACAAUCUCCUUGUUGGCUAUUAGCUUCUGUUCCCCUUGCAGUGAUGAUGAUUCAACAUCUCCAAUUAACCAUAACCUUCUUGGCAGCAUAAUUGGCUUUUGUAAUCUUGUGAAGAGAGCUAAGGAUCACGUGAACCAUAUGUGGGUAGCAGAAGCUACUGAAAAUUCAACAUAUUACCUUAAAUAUGAUCAUCAUUAUUGCUCCCAUCUCAAAGAUGCCUUUGCUCGUGUUAAGAAAUGGGAGCAGAGUGCUAGUUUGACGAUUGAGAAGCUGAGGGAGAAGGUUUUGCAUAUAGUUGGUGGCCCUAAAGGCUAGUACAUCAAGAUGGUUACCUGACUGUCGUGUAAGUUGAAAUGUUGGCUGUUAUCAGUUUUCAAAAUAUAGCCAAGGGGAAGGGUAUAGUUUCCAGAGGCUUUCUGACCAGAAAUUCACGAGGAAUAGGGGAACUUCUGCACAAGUAUUAACAGGAGCUGAACUCAAUGUUCCAGUAUGAGCUUUUGCAAGUCCUAAAUUUUUGCACGAGUAUUAACAGGAGCUGAACUCAAUGUUCCAGUAUGAGGUUUUGGAAGUCCUAAAUUACUUCCGCUUAUACUAAUGCUCUGACAUUUACAUGGAGCAUCCAUACAUCAUAUGAAAUAUAUGAAGCAUGCAUUCUAGUAGCUCCAAUCAUUACAAGAGGGUAUAUGUAAAUCUGUCCCAGGUCCUGUAUUCUCCAAGCCACCUCCCAUAGGCUGCAACACAUUGUUACUCAACCUGCUGGCUGACUAUUGUUACUCUCCUUCAACAUGGCCAAGCGCCAAACAGUUUACGGGGGAUAACAAGCAUCUAAGUCUAACAGAGACAUGAAAGUUUGUGCUAAGAUCAUGUUCAUAUGGCGAUGGUAUUAGUAACAACCUUUAUGCGACAUAGUUGACACUAUUAAGUGAGGUCUGUCCGUGUCCUACUACACCGGAGUAUUGUCUUGCUGGUUGACUUUGUAUAGAGGCAAGGAAUCAUGCUGGCGGACUUGUUGCAGGACAAUGCCAAAUUUGUAUAGUAAAGUAAGGCUGAUGAGGUAUUUAAUGUAAACAAAAAUAUGUAGUUGUGUAUAUUCAGCAUGUUGUUAGCAGCCCCCUCCCUGCCACAACGAAAGGUAGAUAUUGAAAAGAACAGUUUACACUUAAGAAUUAGGAUGGAGCAUUUUGCAAAGAAUUGUGAAAAUUUUGAUUUCAGAUUGCAAUUAUUGAAGUUAAAAUAGGAAAUGUAUAGAUGAGUCAGAAAAUGUUUCCUAUUAUAUUGAUUUUUAUGUUUAUAUGUUGUACA